AUCUUAACCAUUUUUAAGCACACAGUUCUACGGUGUUCAGUACUUUCAUAUUGUGCCACCAACCUCGAAGACUCUUCAUCUUGGGAAGCAGAAACCCUAGCAACUUUAAACAACUCCCUAUUUCCUCCUCCCCUCAUCCCUAGGCAACCACCAUUCUACUUUCUGUCUCUAUGAAUUUUCCAGCCUAGAAUUUCCUGGCCUAGAGACUCUAGAAUCACAUGAGUAGUGUAAGUUGGAUCGCAAAUUCAAAAGAGGGCAGGAGUGUGGUUAUAAAUUUCUCAGAAGAGGCCUUCCCCAACCAAACCCGGGCCAGGUUAGAAGAGCUUCCUGCUCGCUGCCUUUGAAGGUCUAAUCCAGAAACAGCUAUCAACAGAUUGUCACAUCAACCAGUAAGUAACCAUCAAGUCAGUGCUUUUCAUCAAGUCUAAUGCACAACUGACUGCAAAAUGCACCAAUAUUUUAUAUUCCACUAAGAAACAAAGAAGAGGAACUGAACUAUCAAUUAUACCAUGAUAUGCCAUUGAUCCUGAUUCCAAAGGAGAUGUUAAAAUGUGAUAAGUGAGGGAAAGGUGUAUUUUGUAAUCUAUAGAAUAUGGUAACACUAAGA